GAAGAAACAACAAUGUGCGAUAAUUCACCAAGCUGUAGGUGCAUCAGGGAACCAUGCCUUUUGGCUAAUUCGGUCAAGCGGUGAUGGGGGGCAGAGAGAACAUUAAAAGGUGCAAGUGGCCAAUUAGAGGUAGCUUCCAUGGCGCAGGGGGUAGAUUCUUGGGCGAGUCCUUUAUUUUGGAUCUCAUCCAUAGCUUCAACACCAUGAAAAUGAAGACAAGGAAGGUGAAGGACAAUGGGAGCAGCUCGAAUUGGUUAUCCAUGGGAACCAGGCCUUUUGGCUAAUUCGGUCAAGCGGUGAUGGGGCAGAGAGAACAUUAAAAGGUGCAAGUGGCCAAUUAGAGGUAGCUUCCAUGGCGCAGGGGGUAGAUUCUUGGGCGAGUCCUUUAUUUUGGAUCUCAUCCAUAGCUUCAACACCAUGAAAAUGAAGACAAGGAAGGUGAAGGACAAUGGGAGCAGCUCGAAUUGGUUAUCCAUGUCCCUGAUAUGUCAACAUUGCGACACCAAAAAGACAUUGAACUGAUCAAAAGACUUGUGGUAUUCGAAGGUAUUUCAGGCAACACCUUUAGAUUUCUGUUAGACAACCAUUUCUUACGAGUGUGAAUCCCAAUCCAUAUUCUAUGAUGAACAAAGACGAUCUUUAAAAUCAA